AGGUUGGGGGCAACCCAGGCAGGAUUUAAAGUGCUGUCCCUCCAAACCGACCACGGCUCAGGAAAGCAGUCUGUUAAGUUGUGAGUCCCGGCAGGGUAACUGGUGCAGGAAGCUGCUGUGACUAAAAGGAAGCUGAGUCGGUUAAUUGAGAGGGAAGUUUCUGCACAAUUAAGGAAAUGGGAUUAGUAAAAUCACUCCUCAGAGACGGCGUAGCCUCAAAGAGCUGAACCUUUGCCCCCCGAGCUCUGGUGCUGGGUCAGAGGAGAUGGAGCGAUAGGCACUGGCCCAGAAUAAUUUCUGCCAAACCGCAGGAAGGGAGCGGGGAGACUUCGACCCCGCUGAUCAGCACACACAGACCUCAAAACAAUUCACUCCAGCAACAAUUAACCAGGAGCAGGUAAACAUUCACAGAGUGCCUGGCCUCUGACCCCGCCCGUCCCUCUCCGCUGACCAGUGACCCAAAUCCAUCAGCACCCCACCCUUACCCUCAGGCCCGAGUGCUCAGGUAAGGCAGCGCGAGAGAACCCAGGCUCACUCCCAACCUCAGGAACUUUGCACAUCUCCCCUGAGAACACGGGAACUCCCCGGGGUCGUCCCACAUCCCAAACACGCACCACUUGGUGAGUUGCUUGGUCUCUGUCAACGGCCUGGCGUGUUUAUGUAAGAGAAUCUGGAAGGGGGAAUGACAGGAGCACGGGAGGAUAAAAUCGGUGGCUCCUGCUCAGCACAGACUGGAGGGGCUGAAGGGCCUGUUUCAGCUCAUCUCUCCAAGACACUGUUACCUUAACUUCCGACUGUAACUGACCGAGUCUGACCACCAGCUAGUCGGGCUUUUUAAAAAAGUUACAGCUAAGCUGCAAACAAGUCAGACGAAGGUGAAAAAUACCCGAUUCACGGGGUAAUUUGCAGACUUUAGCUCCCAGUCACGCGAGACCAGGGACCCUGGCACCCGAUGAGAGAGAGAGAAGUCCCGGGUCAGUUGAACCGGCUCACCCCGCCGGUCGGCGUGGGGUUCACAAAUACUACCCCGCAGGAGAACUCUUCAACGCAGCAGGGCUGUCCCAGGUAACAUCCUGCGAGUCCCUUUUGCAUUCUCUAUCGCUGUGACACCCAGAACUGUGCACAACGUUCCAAAUGCAAACUAACCAACAUCUUGAGCAGAUGUAGUAUGAUCUCCCAACCCAGCCAGUGAAGGUAAGCAUACCAUGUACCAGCUGUCCAGCUCACUGCCCUUUGCCACCCGUUUCUGAGCGCCAUAGACUUGCACCCCAAGGCCUCUCUGUACAUCAACGCUUCUCAAAUCCCUGUUUGCCUUUGCAGAAUGCAAGACAAGGAAAAUGUUUAUAGCAUAGGGUGUGGUUACCAUUUGGAAUAUCUGAGAAGGUGCCUGGUUAAACUUUAAUUAGAUACAGUAUUAUCUUUUAAAUAAUAAAUGCAAAAGAUUCUUCAGAUACUGUAAAUCUUGGAACAACACACAUAAAAUGCUGGAAGAGCUUAGCUAGUCAGGCAGUAUCUGUGGAGGUGACUAAACAAUGGAUGUUUUGGGCCAAGACCUUUGAUCAGGAUUGGAAAGGGCCCUGACAAAGUGUUUCAGGCCAAAGCUUAAACUAGUUACUCCUCUCUAUUUAAAUGUUGUGAUAAGGGAUACAAAAUUAAUUUGUAUUCUUGGCACAAGAACCAGAGCUUCAGGGCUGGAGGAAUGUCUUUAGCCAGAGGGUGGUGUAUCUGUGGAACUCAUUGCCACAGGUCAUUGGGCGUAUUUAAAGUGGAGGUUGAUAGGUUCCUGAUUAGUAAGGGCAUCAAAUGUAAUGGGAAGGAGAAUGGGGUUGAGACAGAUAUUAAAAGGUUUAGAAGUAUUGCAUGGCUUGGUUGUGCUUUUACAGCUGACACAGGUGUGAUGAGAUAUGUUGUAAGUUUUGUGCACUUUUCUUUGAAGGUGAUGAUUGAUCAGAGGCAAUGAGAUCCUUGAAUAAGGAAAGGACUAAAGAGCGUGGAUAUGGAGAGGUUGUUUCAAAUAGUGGGGAGGUCCAAGACCAGAUGGUUCAGCCUCUGAAUACAAGGAUGUCACUUUAAAACAGAGACGAGGAGGAAUUUCUUUAGCCAGAGGGUGGUGAAUCUGUGGAAUUCAUUAUCACAGGUCAUUGUGAAGGCCAGGUCAUUGGGUGUAUUUAAGGUGGAGGUUGAUAGUUUUUAUUUGCAAGGGUGUCAAAAUUUAUGGGGAGAAGGCAGGAGAAUGGGAUUGAGGGAGAAAGUAAACCAGCCAUGAUAAAAAUGGCAGACCUGAUAGGCCAAAUUCUGCUCUCACAUCUCACAGUGUGCCAGGUUUUCCACUGCACAGUCCAGACCCCCAUCCCCACCACUGUACCGUGGAAACCCGCACCGUCACAUAAACCGCCAUCGAGUCUUCUCCCAGCCCUGUCCACUUUCACACGAGGCAGACAUCACCAGCGGAGUGGAGUGACAGCCACAACAGAAAUGGCAGCCCAUGGUCCAGAAAAACCGCUUCAAUGGUGGGACAUCGAGCCCGAUCAGAUUUCUGAAUGGACAACGAACCAGCCGAUGAACGCUACCUCGCUACUUUUUGCUCCCGUUUUUACACUACCUUUUAAAAUCCAUUUUAUACAUUUCUCAUUGUAAUUUAUAGUUUGUUUCUUUAAUGUACUGCUGCUGCAAAACAGCAAAUUUCACGACAUACGUCAGCGAUAAUAAACUGAUCCUGAUUCACCAAACGCAGAUGGCUUCUGAAGAUUGUAAAGGGUCCCUUUUUUUCCUUUCAUAUAAUGUGAAUGGAAGUGACAGACAACACAGAUCUGGAGGGCUGUGCCCAGGAUGGGCUCCGUACACGGCAGAUAUUUACAGUAUUGGCAUCUUUCCUAUCUGCAACCUCUACCACUUUGGAAGUGUUACAAAACCAUGAUAUG